ACAAAGUCUGGCUCUGUCUGGUUUGAGUAGCUUGAUGGACUUGGUGGGCAGUUAGUGUUUGGUGAGUCUCCUGCAACGCUAAUACUAUGAACACUAUCAUUUUCGCUUUUGUCUUCGAGUUCACUUUUUCUGAAAGUAUGGGAGCUAAGGUCUCUUUGGUCGAAAAUUCUUGACAUGAUCUGAAUUCUUCUCCAGAAAGGAGUUUCAGAAUCAAAACGCAACAAGACAUGCCUUUGCUCAUAAAAAAAUAUUGCUACAAAUAUGAUUAGAGCUGAUAUUGAGGCGACUCCAGCAAUAAGGAACAAGCCCCCAAAACUCUCAACACCAAGACUGUUGGAAGAAACCAAAGUGUUGAGGUCAGGACAACUGCUUCCCUUAUUGAACCAGGCCUGUUCAAUUUGAUUCAUUUUUUCACCCUCAGUAACAUUUAGGAUUGCCCUGGAAACAUCUGCUACAAGAGGGGAACCUCUAGGGAAGACCUAUAAAUUACAAAAUAGUAUCAUCAUAAAGAAACAUCCCAUAUGGUUAGAGAGAAAAUUAGAGAUUAAGAGAGAACUCACAAAACCGAAGCCAUCAGUUCUCAAUUUUGGUUCGACUGCGGUAUAUUCGUCGCAAUAUUUGGCGAGAAAGAGCUUCAUAUAAGGAAUUUCGUCCAAAGUAGCAACAACCCCACCAUUGGCACUUCCUUUGGUAAAGAGAUCAUGAAGUUCUUCUGGGGACUGGUAUUCUAUGAGCUGGGAUUCAGGAAAUCUAAACUGACCCUUCAAGAUUCCUUCGAUAAAGGAGUCUUUCAGGAAACCAACCUUUUCCCCUUUCUUUAAGAGCUAUUGUAUGUCAGUUACCGUAGGUUGGAGCUGUUGCACAGUUAGAAGUGAAGUCAAACUAGCCGUGUAGCUUUGGGUGAGAAUGAGGACGACGAAACACCAUAUUAUUACCACGAAUCGAGCCAAGUUACUGACAACUCUCUCCCCUGCAAUUAUAAUCCAAGAAGCAAAGAAAGUAAACAAUCUGAAGUCAAUAGUACAACUUCGUAAAUAGAGAAGGUGAAAGAAUUAGUACGAUGUGCAAACACCAUGGUCGAGAAGGAGAACCAGAAACUCGUGCCAGCUUGAUGCGAAGGGGGUCCCCUGAAAUCUUCAUUUAUUCUGUGUUCUAGAACCCAAACAACAAAUCCGAUGAAAAGGAAAAAACAAGCACUUGUCACCCAGAGGUCCCAUGUCAGAGGUUUCAAGAAAACCCAUGCAUUCUUCCUCCUGUUAUCUCUGAUCGGUACAAACAUUGAUACACCUGAUUCAGUGUAUGGUAAUGUGAAGUCCACGUAUUGUGACCUGUUUGCCACAAUCGUUGUAUCUCCUACCACCGCAUCGUAUGUCUGUUCAUUUUUGCCAAAAAAAUUAAUGAAAAUUCCUGUUGACAAACUCAACGUAUAAAGAAGAUAAGGAGAUGUUUUACCCCAUUGUACACUUGAAAGAUUAAGUCAUCAUAAGUCCCGGCGCUCUUGCCAUAUGGUGUUGCAAAGGGAAUGAACUCAUAAGUAACAGCAUAAGGCAUUGCAGCCAUUACAGCAUCAAAAACAUCUAUGCAAUAUCCGGUGACUGAAGUAGCUGUAUGAGAAUUAGGAUCCCAUGUUACUUUAACAAAUUCACUGAAACCACGCUUCAUUGGAACCCCAAUCCUCAACUUCUUCUCAUUUGUUGGAAUCUCCCAGCCUUUUGGAGGAGAGGUGGUAUCCCCUGGCCAUAUGAUGGGGCCAAGAUUUGGCUUAUGAGUAGAAUUAGUGCUUCUGUUUGCCAAAUUCAAUUCUUUUACAAGUCCACUUUUUGGUGUCCAAAACCCGACUCUUCUUUCCCCAUUUCCAUUUACGUUAACAAUCUGAAAAACUGGUGAUUGUAGCUGUCCAUUAACAAAAUUAAUGUCUCCAGUAAGACCCUUGAAUUUAGUGCUUGACAAUGCUUGGAUAAGUUGUGGACCAUUUUGUGAGACGCCGAGAGAUUCAAGAUUUGUUCCACUGCUGGAAACAUUAGUUUUGUUGAAGCUGAAGUUUCCCAUGCUAACAUUCUCAAUUGCCAUGGCUAGUGCAAAAGUGGCAUCAUAAGCCCACGGUCCAAAAAUGUUCAACUCAGCAUUAAUAAUGGUGGGAUUGUCUUGCUGGAAUUUCCUUUUCCAUCGAACUUUAAAAUUUUCUAACUCAUUUGUUCCGGGAAAGUAAGUCCUUACACCUAAAACCCCUUGCAUGGAAUCGAUGGUUGGAGGGUCUGUUAAACUCCAAAGAUUAGUCAUUCCAUCUGUCACGAUCCAAGCAUAGCCUUUACUCAUCAUUCCAACCUCUUUCGCUAAUGCAAAAAGCCUGGUGCCGAGAAAUAGUGGCAUGUGCACAAUGAACACUCUUGUUUGCAUCGUCAAUAGCUUGUAAAGCUCUUCUGAAAUUUGGUCAUCGCUAGCCGGUGAAGGGAUGACACUCCGGUAUGGGACACGAACAUUGAUCCCUUGCAAGGCGUCUGUCAAGUAAGGUAUAAUACCCUCUCCAAAUUCAUCGUCUAUGUAGAUUGGCACAGCUUCUCUCCAUCCAAAGGCUACAACAAUUGUACUAAUGGCUUUCACUUUAGAUGAGUCAUUUUGUGUAGCUCGGAAAAAGUAUGGACUCCGAAGGGAGGUAAGAGAAGGGCUUGUUGCCGAAAAUGAAAUGAUUGGAACUUGAGAUUUGUUUCCGAGAUUGAUAAGAAAAUUGGCCUGCAUUGAAGUGUGCGGCCCUAUGAUUGCUUGCACUUGUACAUUUUUUAUCAAGUCAAGAGCUGUUUGUCAAGCAAACAAAAUUCUGACUUAAAUAUAGUUGCUGUAGCUGGAUAAUCCUAGAUUAUAUAUGCUCUGACUACUCGUUAACUAAAUCUAUAUAUGCUCUGACUACUCGUUAACUAAAUCUACAUAUGUCUCAUGCCAAUUAUAUUUUUGCAAUAUACACAUACUUCUCUAUGGUAAUAAUACCUAUCACUCCUUUUCUUUAAGUCAUUUUCAAGAUAAACUAGUACAAAUAUUUUAAUAGAUUUUAAGCCAAAUAUUCUCGAUACAGCUAGUCUCGAGUUCAUAGUAUAAAAAUAUAUAUAUAUAUAUAUAUAUAAAGUGAAGGCAAAUUGAUCAGUCACAAAAUCUAAGAUAUACUAUAUUUAGCCCUUUUAUAUUAUUUUAUUUCAAUAUAAUACAAGUUAUUCAUUUAAAUUUGAUUUUAUAUAUAAAAUUUUUUCAAACUUAUUUUAUAGAAGGAGAAUUCAAACUUAAUUUUUAUAAAAAAGAUAAAUUAAUAUAUAUAUAUAUAUUUGAGAAUCAAAUAAUCAAGUAAGUAAAUAUUUAUAUAUAUUUUUUAAUACCGUAAAUCUUUUCCACUUAAAUAUUUGACUUCUUUAUAAGUAUAUCUUUCAUCUACUUAAAUAUUUAUAUUUUUAAAUAUUUUUUUAAUGUAGUCCUUCAACAUCUCAAUUUUAUUCAAUUUAAUUCAUGUACUAUACAUUUUUAUUUAAUUUAAUCUCUAUGUUGUGACACAAAAAAUUUUUAAAAUUUUUUUAAUCUAUCACAUGGCACUGACACGCUAGCAUGUCAAUGUCACAUCAACAUAUUAGUGCCAUGUGGUACUACCACAUCAUCAUAUUAGUGCCACAUGGCAUGCCACAUCAUCAUAUGGGUGCCACAUCAUCAUUGAUAUCAAUGCUGAUAUCAUCAUUUUAACAAAAAAAAUUGGAUACUGUUAAAAGAGGGAUUAAAUUGAAAAAAUUCUCAAAAUCAAAAUAUUAAAUUAUUUCGAUUUUGAAUAUAGGGAUUGAAUUGAACAAAAUACAUAAAUAUAGGGACUUGUUGGAUGUUUUGAUUAAGGUUGAAAGUUAAGAUUUCUAAAAGUUUUUCAUAUAUAUCAACUUUUUUUUUCUGAAAAAAAGGAAAAGGAAAGUCACAUGGAGAGAGGUGACAGAGGAAACGCGUACCAGCAGCAGCGGCGCCAAUAACGUCCUUGGAGUCCCUGGGGUUCAAGACAAUCCUGGUUCUGUAGGAAGCAUGAGUGGCGUAAAAGUCAGAGAGGGCCAUGUUGAUGCAGCUCAACCCAAUCUUCCCAAGCUUUGUAUCCAAGUCAAGAACCACCCCCACAUUAACAGGGAUGCUAUUGUUGUUUUGUGCAACAACCACAUGCAUCAACAAAACCUUGCACGAAAUGACCACGAGGUAGAAAAAAUGGAGGGGAGGGCUAGUUACUGCGGUAGCUUUUUGCAUCUUCAUUGAAGCUCUUGAGCAGGGUCUGGCCUUCACAAGAAGAUACUGAUAUUUACACUGGAUGAAUAAAAGAGCCGCAAUUGGAGAAAUUGCAUGGGUAAAUUCUGAAGGAUAUGGUUAGCACAACUCAAGACUGAAGAGUGAAUAAUUAAAUAAUAAUAAAAAACUUAUCUCCUCCUCCUUACAUAAGGGAGUGGGACAAUGUCGAUCUGAUGCCUAGAGAUAGAAUUUGUCUUGUUUCAGUAUCAAUCGUUUACCUUGACCAAAUCAAAAUACAGACAAAAAAAAAUCGACAUCACCUUGUUGCUCUCAAAUUAAUUAGAAAAGAAAUUCUGCUCCUCCAAAUUUGUAUCCUACGAAGAUUCUAUUGGAAGGGAAAUAACGGUCGGUCAGAGAUUGGUGGAUGGCUUUUCAUCAAGUUCCAAUCGUAUAUUUUGUCAGCAGGCAGGCAAGGAAAUUUGAGGCAGCUGGUGGCCCCUACUUUGGGUGUUGAAUAAAAAAAAAACACAAAUGAAAAACAUUACAUGUCCUAUUGGCCAUUGGGGGAAUAUCAGGACGACUGCCAGGAAACAAGUAACCCAAACAGUAGUCUACUACACAUGUUUAGAAGAAAUUUCAAGCUUUGACUUGAAUAAAACAUGGAGUAGUUUUGAGUUAUUUAAUAUUGUGCCAAAAAUAUAAAGAGAAGUUAAACUAAAGACAUGUAAAGUAACAUUUUAUGAAACUAAAAUUACUUAUCUUACCUUUGUAUUUUACUAGUACAUUUCAGGAUUUAUAUUUUCCAAGUUAGGCCAAUUUUUCUUUCUUUGAAAAGUUUUUGUCUUGUAAAAAUGUUGAAUUUGAGUAGCCUACUUAAUCAAUCAAUUUGUGUGGCAGCAAAUGUCCUUUCCUAGGAUCUAAUCAAUGACUUAAUUACUCAAAACAUUACAUCAUACAGCUUCUUUUCCAGGAAAGUGUAAGGAAAACAUGGGACUGAAAACUCGGGACUCUUAAUUGAUAAUGAAAGGCCACAAGUAGCAUUUGAUUUGAGGCAAAUUAAGCAAUGGUUAUUAAAUUAAUCAUGACUUGGAGUAUAUUUGUCAAUUCAAAAAAGAAAGAUUCUCUACUUACUUUAUACUAAAAUCCUAUGCUUCUCUAUUAGUAUAAAUUAAUAAAAAAUAAAGUAAAAUACUGUUAUUCUCUUAAUUUUUAAUCAUAAUUCUAGACGAGUCUAUUAAUUUUCAAAAUGAACAUUUUAUCUAAAAAGUGUAAAUAUUGUUAAUAAAAAUUAUAAAAUGACUAAAACACAUUUUCUUUUUUUUUUCUUUCAAACAAUAUGAUCAGUCGACGACAAGAACACCGAUCAAGUUCUCCUUAGGACCCUAGAAGCUCCUCGACUUCUUUUGGCAAAAAAAAAAAUUACAAAAAAAAUAAUAUAAUAAUUUUUAAAAUUAAUAAAAAGUAAAAUUAUCUUUUUAAUAUUGUCACGUCAUCAAACUAACAGAAAUAUUAACAGUUGAUUGAUGGCUAGACCUAUGUGUUUAGGAGAAGAUAUUUUUUAAGAUAAAGUAUUCAUUUUAAAAAUUAAUGAACCCGCUUGGAGUUAUGACUAAAAGUAAAAGUGAGAGUAUUUAUCUUAAAAAUUAUAAUAAUGAAAAAGUAAUAGUAUUAAUUAGGAAGGAUAUGAAGUAACUAUUGCAAAAGCUUUGACCUCAUGUCUUGUUAAUUAAUUAAGGAAACAUUUUGUCUCCUGAUUUUUCCAGGAAACCAAACGCCUCCCUCUUCUAUCCUUGUUUUUCCUUCCUUCUUAUUGCUCCAUAUUAUUUUAUUUUCUUGCACUUGCUUCACAAUCAUAUGGCUUAUUUUAUGUAUGCAACCACAACUCUAAACAUCUUCAACUAGGAUUUUAUAUUGUCUCUUCCAUCCUCUACACCAUCAUAGGCAAAUAUAUCUAUAUCUAAACAUUUGACUCAUUGAUUGGUGCAUGAUCCCCUUACCUAAAAAGCAAAGUUUGAAUCCCCUCUCUCUCAAUUAAAAAAAAAUUCAUAUAUAUAUAUAUAUAUAUAUAUAUAUAUAUUACCCUUAUCCUUUUUCCAUUUUACCCUGAGUCUAGCACCCGCUUAACCAGCUUGACUUCCAAUCUUAGGGACUCACUUUGACUUUGAACAAGGAAUUGAUAACGACCUUUAUCUUUAAUAAUCUCAAUAAUCAAGCAUACUUUUCCUGAGUUGGAAAAUUCGGUGUAGAUGAAAAAUUUGAAUUAAAAUUUUUCGAUACUGACUCAAUUUUUUAAAAGUUUUCCCCAAUUUCAUGAUUAUUUAUUUAAUCGAAUGUACUAAUCAGCCAACAUAUUCAUCCGUUAAAAAUUGGAGCAAAUGUUGGCAUGUUUAGAAACAACCAUGCAUAUGUAUUUGGGACCAUUCUAUGAGUUACUUAUAGAUUAUCUUGAUAUUUUCAAUCCCUAGAUUUUAAAUUUUUUUCUUAAUCAAAGGUAAAUUUUAUUGAGUAUCAAAUGUUUGAUAAGAAAGAUAGCAAGAAAAGGAACAAUAUGUGCCUAGCCCAUUGUUAUUAUGUAGAUUUUAUGUAUUAUUAAUGAACUAAAUAUUUUCACAUAAUUAAUAAAAAAAAUUUAAAGGUUGAGUAGUCUAAAAAAUGAAUACUUAUAAUUCUAAAAAUAUAUAUUUUGAAAUUUUUUUUAAAUUUUUAUCUUUACACAUUUAUAAAGUAAUGUUAUGUAAUUAAAUAAUAAUAUAUAAAUAUUAUACAUUGACGGUAUACUAAAUAUACCUAUAGUGCUAUUUCUUGGAAGUUUUCUCAAAUACAAACCUCAAUAUUAUUUUUUUUUAUAUAUAAAAACGUUAAGCCACCAUCACUGAUAUUGUAACUGCUUAAUUCCAGUGCAACUAUCUCACGGAAGCUGACUAAGUCCAAGGUUGUUUGGGAGUGCCCACCCAAGGGUUGGUUCAAGUUCAAUACCAAUAGGGCAGCUAGGGGUUGUCCGACGCAUCUUGGGAUUGGAGGGGUUCUACGCGACGACACAAGGGCUGUCAAGCUCGUCUUCUCAAAGAAUGCUAGUUAGGGUGAUGCCAAUCUCGAAGAGGUGUUAGCAGUUUAAGAGGCCAUUUUAUAGCCUCCUCCUGGGUGCAUUCUUAUAGCAUUAUCAUUGAAUCUGACUUUAGGAGUGUUGUGUCUUGGGUGUCCGAUCCUACUAAAGCUUCGUCAAGGGUGAGACAACUUAUCCUUCAGAUUUGCUCACUCAAAAAUGCAGUUGCUAGCUGGCAGAUCAGGCAUAUUUCAAGAUCAGUAAUGAGGUUGCUGACAUCCUUGCCAAAUUAGGGGUUGACAGAGUCCAUGAUUUGUUACGCUUUCAGCCUUAAUUGUUGUUGUGACUUUGUGCUUGCGGGGAUUUUUAGGUUAUUGCUUUAGUGUGGAGUUGCUGCCUUUCUCAUUCAUGUGAAGGUAAUGUCUAAUCCGGGGAAUGUCAUGCUUUUGUCAAAUUUGCAAGAGGAGUAAACAUCCAUGAGGGCCAUGUUUCUUACUCUUGUUUAUCAUUUUGCCUAUUUUUGUUUUAGGAUGCGAUUUACUGCUAAGGAGAUAUGAGCACUUUUUUUUGUAUAGUUACAGGUUGUUUCUGGCUAUAUUUUUGUAAGCCAGACUUCCAAUAAGGUCCUGCUCAUUGUGUAUAUGGGAUUUUCCCUUUUGUUAAUGAAGUUUACCAUCUUUAAUUUUCCAAAAAAAAAAAAAAGGUUUAAGCCUCGUCAUUAUUUCAGUCAUAGUCGAAGAAACAACUUAACUAUUUGCAUGCAUUACACAUUACAUCAGGCUUAAACCAACAAUAUGACUCCGUGCGACUCCUUUGCUUGUAAUGGGGACAAAUAGGGAAUCUUGUUAUCCUGUUCUAAACUUUUCUUCCCUGUGAGUUUCCUCUUUCUUUAUCCUUGACUUCACUCACAUAUUUCUUAGUUGAAGCUUCUGCAUGUGCCUUUUCCCUUCAUUCAAAUAGUAAAGGCAAGAUCAACUUUUUCAUUUUUCCUAGCAACUUUCCUUUAUUCAUCAACUUCUAAAACAUUCACCAAAUCUGAUAUAGAGCUCUGUGAGAUGUCUUUCACUUGUUCCAAAGAAGAAACUGUGGCAUCAAACCUUUUAGGUAAACUGGUAAGGACUUUCUCCACAACCUUAGCAUCAGAUAAAGUCUCUCUCAACAGUCGAAUUGGAUUUUCCAGCUUCAUCACUGCAUUAAUGAAUUCUUGCACAGUCUGACUUUCUCUCAUCCUCAGAAGUUCAUAUUGCCUUCUGAAGUUCUGUAGAUGAAUUGGCUUGUUUAUGGCAGACCCCAAAAGUUCUUCUUCAAGUUUGUUCCAACCCUGUUUUGCUGUCUCACAUCCCAUAAUCAGGCUGAAAACGGACUCUGUAACAGCUGAGUGUAUGAAGGAUAAGGCUCUGAAUUUCUUUGCAAUAUCCUCUUCAUAUUGCUUCACCUAUGUUAGUGUGGCAUUAUCUCUCAAUGCUGGUACAUCUGUCUCAUUUUCAACUGCAUUCCAUAGAUUGACACCUUUCAAGAAUGCUUUCAUUCUAAUGGCCCAAACAAGAUAGUUAGAGGCAUUGAAAAUGGGCGUAGUUUGACAUUUUGAUGAAGAAUAAACUUGUGAUGAGUGAGAAAGAGGUUUUAAUUGGCUCACAGAUUGGUUAUCUGCUUUGAUAUCAUGUCAUGAAGCUAAAAAAAGAUGAUAAAAAUAGUAUUAUAUACUGUUCUGUAGAAAAAGGAAAAACAUAGAGCAAGCUGGAGAAGGAAAGAUGCUUCAUUAAUUACUAAACAGAUAAUAUAUAUAUACAAGCAUCAUAUGGUUAACAACUGUUUACAAAGUGUACAAGUGUUAUUAACUAAAACAUGCACUAAAACACCUUAUAAACACUGGUAUAAUAUUCUUAAUAACUAGUACAAUGAAGCAAAAUACAUAGUAAAAAACAAAAUGAUAAAGUUAAUGCAUGCUUUAACUCUAACUUGUACAUCAAUUUAUAUUCUUCAUUACCGACGUUGUCACUGGAGCAAAGGGGAAUAUCUACACCAAUUAUUCUCUGGGGCCAUUUGUAGUGUUACCAAGCUCAAUAGAAUGUCUUUCAGGAAAAGGGAAUAUCUCCGGAGAAGCUGUAACGCUUGGGGUAAUAUCACCAUUUUCAGCUACUCUUCGUUGAUCUGCCAAGAACACAAAGUCUGGCUCUGUUUGGUUUGAGUAGCUUGAUGGACUUGGUGGGCAGUUAGUGUUUGGUGAGUCUCCUGCAACACUAAUACUAUGAACACUAUCAUUUCUGCUUUUGUCUUCGAGUUCGCUUUUUCUGAAAGUAUGGGAGCUAAGGUCUUUUUGGUCGAAAAUUCUUGACAUGAUCUGAAUUCUUCUCCAGAAAGGAGUUUCAGAAUCAAAAUGCAACAAGACAUGCCUUUGCUCAUAAAAAAAUAUUGCUGCAAAUAUGAUUAGAGCUGAUAUUGAGGCGACUCCAGCAAUAAGGAACAAGCCCCCAAAACUCUCAACACCAAGACUGUUGGAAGAAACCAAAGUGUUGAGGUCAGGACAACUGCUUCC
rnacentral:lncRNA from 1 species